rnacentral:rRNA from 1 species
UACGUAGGGUGCGAGCGUUAAUCGGAAUUACUGGGCGUAAAGCGUGCGCAGGCGGUUCGCCAAGUCAGGUGUGAAAUCCCCGGGCUUAACCUGGGAAUGGCGAUGGAGACUGCGAGGCUAGAGUUUGGCAGAGGGGGGUAGAAUUCCACGUGUAGCAGUGAAAUGCGUAGAGAUGUGGAGGAACACCGAUGGCGAAGGCAGCCCCCUGGGUCAAAACUGACGCUCAUGCACGAAAGCGUGGGGAGCAAACAGG